rnacentral:misc_RNA from 1 species
GAUGAAGAACGUAGCGAAAUGCGAUAAGUAAUGUGAAUUGCAGAAUUCAGUGAAUCAUCGAAUCUUUGAACGCACAUUGCGCCUGCCAGUACUCUGGCGGGCAUGCCUGUUCGAGCGUCAUUUCAACCAUCAAGCCCCCGGCUUGUGUUGGGGACCUGCGGCUGCCGCAGGCCCUGAAAACCAGUGGCGGGCUCGCUAGUCACUCCGAGCGUAGUAAUACAUCUCGCUCAGGGCGUGCUGCGGGUUCCGGCCGUUAAAAAGCCUUAUUUACCCAAGGUUGACCUCGGAUCAGGUAGGAAGACCCGCUGAACUUAAGCAUAUCAAUAAGCGGAGGA